rnacentral:rRNA from 1 species
AUUGAACGCUGGCGGCAGGCCUAACACAUGCAAGUCGAGCGGAUGAAGGGAGCUUGCUCCUGGAUUCAGCGGCGGACGGGUGAGUAAUGCCUAGGAAUCUGCCUGGUAGUGGGGGAUAACGUCCGGAAACGGGCGCUAAUACCGCAUACGUCCUGAGGGAGAAAGUGGGGGAUCUUCGGACCUCACGCUAUCAGAUGAGCCUAGGUCGGAUUAGCUAGUUGGUGGGGUAAAGGCCUACCAAGGCGACGAUCCGUAACUGGUCUGAGAGGAUGAUCAGUCACACUGGAACUGAGACACGGUCCAGACUCCUACGGGAGGCAGCAGUGGGGAAUAUUGGACAAAGGGCGAAAGCCUGAUCCAGCCAUGCCGCGUGUGUGAAGAAGGUCUUCGGAUUGUAAAGCACUUUAAGUUGGGAGGAAGGGCAGUAAGUUAAUACCUUGCUGUUUUGACGUUACCGACAGAAUAAGCACCGGCUAACUUCGUG